rnacentral:sRNA from 1 species
AAAUAUUUAAAUAAAAGAGUUUCUAAUUUUAAAGUUAACAGUGACCCGGCCCGAACUCUACGUCACGUCAUGAUAUAGACUGAUAAUGGAAUGCAAAGAAUCAGGUAAGGUAAUGGUGAACAAAUUUAGAAGAGAUGAUGCAAAGUAGGCUCGGACAUAUCAGCCGAAUCUAUCAAAUCUUCACCAAACAAAAAUUUGAGGCGAGUAGAGUCUUCUUGAGAAGAAUAGGGGUGGCGCUUUGGUCUAUGUGGCAUCACUAAUCCGUGGGAGAUGGUUCUUGUCGUUUGUACAGGAAUGGCAAUUGGAAGUAGUUUCUCUGGUUGUCCGUAGAUGCUCCUGUAACCGUCGGGUUUGUGUUUUAGUCUGCUGUUGUCAUCGCGUUUACGUUAGUUUGCAGAGAAGUUGUAGGCGUUUUAUCUAGAGGUUUUGUGGACUGACUUCUAAUAGAGUUGAUGGGACUCUAACUCUUUGAAGUUGUGGAAAUCACGCAAAUUUCUGAGUUUGGCAACUCAGAAUCGGUGUUUCUUCUUUCGUCUUUGUUUUGGACUUAUGCUCUCCUCUUUUGAUGAUUUGUUAUCGUCUGUUUAUUCUGUAGAUCUUGGUUAUUCUCUGCUACUUGUAUUCUUUGUAAUUUCUGUUGAAACUUCAAAAAUGGUAUAAAUACUUCACCUUUUACCAAAAAAAA